rnacentral:rRNA from 1 species
AUGUCAUUUUCUUGUGCUUAUGUUGCUUCCAUAUUGUCGCAAGUAAGAUAUGUUGCUGAUCCAGGCUCCAGUAGACCCAUUAUUCCUUCAAUGAUGUUCCUCUUCGAUUUGUUUGUGCAGCAUCACCAACUCAACUCCAUGCAUAUGCAGAUGCAGGGGGGAGGAGAGGACCACUACUUUGAUUCUCUGAUUUUUUUUGUGAGAAUUAAGAUGGGUGGCUUCUCGUGUAGAACUCAGUUUACAUAUAUUUUUUAUUUUAUAACUAGACCUAUGCUUUUAUCAGGUUUUCUUAUGAUGUGUUCAUAUUCUGUAGGAAGAGCAUCUUCAUAUCAGGAAGAAAAAUCGUGGGUGGAAGCUACUGACCAUGAGGAUUUACAUCAGUGA